rnacentral:rRNA from 1 species
GACGAACGCUGGCGGCGUGCCUAAUACAUGCAAGUCGAACGCACGAAGUUGAAGAGCUUGCUCUUUAACCAAGUGAGUGGCGGACGGGUGAGUAACACGUGGGUAACCUGCCCAUUAGAGGGGGAUAACAUUCGGAAACGGAUGCUAAUACCGCAUAGUUUCAGGAAUCGCAUGAUUCUUGAAGGAAAGGUGGCUUCGGCUACCACUAAUGGAUGGACCCGCGGCGUAUUAGCUAGUUGGUGAGGUAAUGGCUCACCAAGGCAAUGAUACGUAGCCGACCUGAGAGGGUGAUCGGCCACACUGGGACUGAGACACGGCCCAGACUCCUACGGGAGGCAGCAGUAGGGAAUCUUCCGCAAUGGACGAAAGUCUGACGGAGCAACGCCGCGUGAGUGAAGAAGGUUUUCGGAUCGUAAAACUCCGUUGUUAAAGAAGAACAAGGAUGAGAGUAACUGCUCAUCCCCUGACGGUAUUUAACCAGAAAGCCACGGCUAACUACGUGCCAGCAGCCGCGGUAAUACGUAGGUGGCAAGCGUUGUCCGGAUUUAUUGGGCGUAAAGCGAGCGCAGGCGGUUCUUUAAGUCUGAUGUGAAAGCCCCCGGCUCAACCGGGGAGGGUCAUUGGAAACUGGAGAACUUGAGUGCAGAAGAGGAGAGUGGAAUUCCACGUGUAGCGGUGAAAUGCGUAGAUAUGUGGAGGAACACCAGUGGCGAAGGCGACUCUCUGGUCUGUAACUGACGCUGAGGCUCGAAAGCGUGGGGAGCAAACAGG